UUAAAUUAUAGUUUAUACACAAUACAAUGUAUCUGUUAUCAAUGAUUUCAGCAGGCAGGUAUCUAGUCUAUUCUUAGGCAAUUACAUAACAUCUAUUUUUAGCUUAGUAGGAAUAGUGCCCUAGAGGGGGGUUAGAGUAUUGUUGAUGAAUUGAGAGGAAGCAUCGUUGUAUUUGAUGCAUUACAAUCAGUUAUUAUUUACUAUUUUCGAACCAUAUUCGAAAUUGUUUUUUUUUUAUGUUAACGGAUAUUGACAUGGAUAUACGUUUCUUUGGAAUAGUGAUUGGAUAUUGUUCAUUUGAUUGAGUAAUUAUUAUCACUUCAAUAUCACUUUCCAAGUGCGUGCUAUGGGUACGCGCCCAGGUAAACACAGAUAAUCGUAUUAUGAUCUUUAAUAUUUCGAAACUGGAUUAACUCUUCUUGUAGAGUUGAGAACAAGAACAUAGAUGUCCAGCUCACGCUAUGAGAUGACUGAUUGACCUUAUUUCGAUAUCGAGACAUUCGGCCAUGACAGCAUUUUCAAGUGCGCGAUCCCACAAUGCAACGCAUAUAUGUAAACAAUAACAAUAAUUGGAAUAGAACCACGAUUGAGUAGACUAAGUGUGUAAACGUUCGUUCAAUAUUUAAUACACAUCUUGAUUAAUAAAUAAUUGUUUGUCAGCAUUUUCCAAAAUGUCAGUAUCAUUACAAGUUUCCCGUACUUUAUGCCCGCCAGUUUUUAUCGCUAUGUCGACGGCAUUCAAUAUUCCAUAAACACUACGUUUGAACUCAUGCUAUAUCAGUAUACACACUAGCUAUGUAUACACAUUCCAUUUGCCUUUAAUGCUUAAUUUCUUUGAUAAGCAGCCGAUAAGCAUGUUUCUACCGCCCAGGAUCAGGAGUCAGUGAUCGUGAUACAUGAUAUAUAUACGAUUUGUUAUGGUUAUUAUGCAGAACCACUGCCUCUGGUGGAUACUUUGCUUCAACGUAGAAUAUAUAGUUCCAGAUUAGUCCUUACAAUGUAUUAAUUCCGCAGUUCUUCAACACUAGCCCAAGGACACUGAGGGAACGCUUAGAUCAUACAGAACACUUCGGGUUUACCAGAUACUAGUAUACAGGUUUAUCAUAUACUACUGCAGAGUAGGGUGUGAAGAGCAGCAUGGAGAUUCGAGGACACGUAUACUCAAGCACGUAUAUGUCUGAACUUCUUAAGGAUACACAACUGAAUGUAUUGUAUUGGUGGAAACUUUGCCUUUGUUAAGUAUAAGUAAUAUUUUUUUAUUUUAGUGAUAAGCAAAACAUACAUUUGUAAUGACAGCAGAUACAUACAUGUAUAUAAAUAAGUAAUACUAUGUAUUAAUGUCUCAUAUUUUAGCACAUAGUAUCACACGGUAUCUUUAUCUCUAUUCUAGAUUGUUCCACACCGACAGAGAUCUCUUCAGGUUAACAUUUCGUACAUAUAGUAUGAAUUUAUAUUUAUAUGUACAUGUAUUAUAUUUCAGCACAUACAUGUAGUACAGAAGCAACAGUAUUUAUCAUGUUCAUAUUGCUAUUAUAGAUUGCUACAUGUACAUGUAUCUCUAUUCUAGAUUAUUCUACACCUUCCUGGAAAUUUCUCAGUCAUAUGUAUUUAUUUUAUAUGUAUGAUAUUUCAUCACAUAGCACAGUUUUUAUCAUAUUUAUAUUUAUUCCUGAGUGUUCCACAACCGGCCUGGAUCUUUUCAGGUGUAUAUUUCGUACGGUAUAUUAAGAAUUAUAUGAAUUUAAAUGUAUAUAUAUUUCAGCACAUAGUACAUGAAUCGAAGCACACAGUUUUUUAUCAUGUUCAUAUCGCUAUUCUAUUUGCUAUCUCUAUACUAGAUUAUUUUACACAUUCCAGGAUCUCCCAAGAUGGACAUUUCUCAGUAUAGUUAUGCAUACAUGUAUGUACUUAUUUUAUAUGUAUUAUAUUUCAGCACAUAGUACAUGUAGCACACAGUAUUUAUCAUGUUUAUAUCUUUAGUCUAGAUUGCUCCACACAUGCAGGGAUCUCCUCAGGUGUACAUUUCAUACAGUACAGUUACAUAUAUGAUAUUUCAGGUCGUACCUGCUGGAUCGCUCCAGGUCAUUCAUUCUCUUUAUGUAUAUUGUACGUAUUGUACUACGCCUGCUGGAUCCCCACAGGUCGUACUACCCCUGCUGGAUCGCCACAGGUCAUUCAUUCUCUUUAUGUAUACUGUACUACACCUGCUGGAUCGCCACAGGUCAUUCUAUUUAUGUAUACUGUACUACACCUGCUGGAUCGCCACAGGUCAUUCUAUCUAUUUAUGGGUAUUGUACUACGCCUGCUAGAUCGCCACAGGUCAUUCUUUCUUAUUAUGUAUAUUGUACUACAUCUCCUGGAUCGCCACAGGUUAUUUUAUUUAUGUGUAUUGUACUACGCCUGCUGGAUCGCCACAGGUUUUUUAUUUAUAUAUAUUGUACUACGCCUGCUGGAUCUCCACAGGUUAUUUUAUUUAUGUAUAUUGUACUACCCCUGCUGGAUAGCCACAGAUUAAUUUAUUUAUGUAUAUUGUACUACAUCUGCUGGAUCGCCACAGGUUAUUUUAUUCAUGUAUAUUGUACUACGCCUGCUGGAUAGCCACAGGUUAUUUUAUUUAUGUGUAUUGUACUACGCCUGCUGGAUCGCCACAGGUUAUUUUAUUUAUGUGUAUUGUACUACGCCUGCUGGAUCGCCACAGGUCGUACUACCCCUGCUAGAUUGCCACAGGUCAUUCAUUCUCUUUAUUUCUCAGUAUAGUAAUGCAUACAUGUAUGUAUUUAUUUUAUAUGUAUUAUAUUUCAGCACAUAGUACAUGUAGCACACAGUAUUUAUCAUGUUUAUAUCUUUAGUCUAGAUUGCUCCACACAUGCAGGGAUCGCUCCAGGUGUACAUUUCAUACAGUACAGUUAUAUAUAUUAUAUUUCAGGUCGUACCUGCUGGAUCGCUCCAGGUCAUUCAUUCUCUUUAUGUAUAUUGUACUACACCUGCUGGAUCACCACAGGUCGUAUUGUACCUGCUGCAUCGCCACAGAUCAUUCAUUAUCUUUAUGUAUACUGUACUACGCCUGCUGGAUCGCCACAGGUUAAUUUAUUUAUGUGUAUUGUACUACGCCUGCUGGAUCGCCACAGGUCAUAUUAUCUUUUAUUAUGUAUUAAUGUGUUAUAUUUAACUCAGCUAGUAUUUCCACUUAGACCCUCUUGUUUAAGGAUUACUAAGACUUCCCAGGUUGUUUCUUUUUUUUUUUAUUUUACAGGAAAAUACAGAUACAGAUACAGAUAUUAAAACCUUCGUUUUUCGGAUGAAGACUUCAGAACUUUAUAGCACCGUUAUAUAUGAGAAAACAAUACCCUGAUGCCUGCCUUCAUAUAUAGUAUAAUGUGUUAGACAACAGUUCAACUUUUGUUUAUUUUAACCUAUCGUUUUCGGAUGCAGAAUUCAGAACUAUUAAGCACUAGAUAUGAGGAUAGCAAUAUCUUGAUGCAGACUUCAGAACUAUAUAGCACCGGAAUAUAUAAGGAGGACGAUACCUUGAUUCAUGCAUUCAUAGUUAAUGUGUCAGAACUACAGUCACACUUCUUUAAACAUUAAACGCAAGAAUUUUAACUACAUGUAUGUAAGACAGUCAAUUCUAGCCUUCACUACCGAAGGUUAGAGAGAAGUCAAUUGCUCAUUGAUGCCUUCCAACUGCCAACCAAACUUAUUUGCUAAGAGGACAAAUACGUUCUAAAGCACAACAGAAAGGUGUUUUUUUUGAAAUUAUUGUAUUGUUAAUGUAAUUUUUUUUUUUUUUUUUUUUUUUUUUUUUACAUUUGUAUUUGCUAGCAUUAUUAUUUCUUGGGGGCUUUCAUUCUUUCAUUUUAUGAACUCAUUUCAUUUGGCUUUUAAUUCCAGGGGAAUCAUACUCCCCCAAUUCAAUAAUACAUCAGAUAGGUUAAUUCCUGUCGAGGAACAAAUUGUAUUUUAAGUAGUAUUUUUACUACGCUGGGAUCGCCCAGGAGCAAUUAGGUUCAUUCCUGGGGAUCGCCCCAGGAAUUAGGUUCAUUCCUGUCGAGGAACAAAUAGGUUCAUUCCUGGGGAUCGCCCCAGGAACUAGGUUCAUUCCUGGGGGUCGCCUCAGGAAUUAGGUCCAUUCCUGUCGAGGAAAAUAGGUUCAUUCCUGGGGAUCGCCCCAGGAAACACAUAGGCUCAUUCCUGGGGAUCGCCCCAGGAAACACAUAGGUUCAUUCCUGGGGAUCGCCCCAGGAACAUUUUUUACUAAUCGCUUAUUUUUAUUUUUCUCAUAUUUUGAUAAGUUUUGAAUUUAUUUUCUCAUAUUUUGAAUAGUUUGAAAUGUUUAUUUCAAUUCUCUUAAGUGAAUGAGUAGCCCCCAGAAAGCCAAUAAUGUAUUAUAUAGUUUGUCAUACAAUGUAGAAAGAUAUGUACUGUUAUGAUACAGUUUAUUUUAAUAUUUAGUUGUAGUUUUAGUAUGUUUUGAUAUUUUAAUAAUAAAACAUAUAUCUUAAAUUGUGUUGUGUAUAAAA
rnacentral:lncRNA from 1 species